GAUGAACGCUGGCGGCGUGCCUAAUACAUGCAAGUCGAGCGAACAGACGAGGAGCUUGCUCCUCUGACGUUAGCGGCGGACGGGUGAGUAACACGUGGAUAACCUACCUAUAAGACUGGGAUAACUUCGGGAAACCGGAGCUAAUACCGGAUAAUAUAUUGAACCGCAUGGUUCAAUAGUUAAAGACGGUUUUGCUGUCACUUAUAGAUGGAUCCGCGCCGCAUUAGCUAGUUGGUAAGGUAACGGCUUACCAAGGCGACGAUGGGUAGCCGACCUGUGAGGGUGAUCGGCCACACUGAAACUGAGACACGGUCCAGACUCCUACGGGAGGCAGCAGUAGGGAAUCUUCCGCAAUGGGGGAAAGCUUGCCGGAGCAACGCCGCGUGAGUGAUGAAGGUCUUCGGAUCGUAAAACUCUGUUAUUAGGGAAGAACAAAUGUGUAAGUAACUAUGCACGUCUUGACGGUACCUAAUCAGAAAGCCACGGCUAACUACGUG
rnacentral:rRNA from 1 species